rnacentral:rRNA from 1 species
UACGGGGGGGGCAAGCGUUGUUCGGAAUUACUGGGCGUAAAGGGCUCGUAGGUGGCCAACUAAGUCAGACGUGAAAUCCCCAGGCUCAACUUGGGAACUGCGUCUGAUACUGCCAUGGCUAGAGUCCGGUAGGGGACCACGGAAUUCCUGGUGUAGCGGUGAAAUGCGCAGAUAUCAGGAGGAACACCGGUGGCGAAGGCGGUGGUCUGGGCCGGCACUGACGCUGAGGAGCGAAAGCGUGGGUAGCAAACAGG